AUUGAACGCUGGCGGCAUGCCUUACACAUGCAAGUCGAACGGCAGCACGGGUGCUUGCACCUGGUGGCGAGUGGCGAACGGGUGAGUAAUACAUCGGAACGUACCUUAUCGUGGGGGAUAACGCAGCGAAAGCUGUGCUAAUACCGCAUGCGCCCCGAGGGGGAAAGCGGGGGAUCGAAAGACCUCGCGCGAUUAGAGCGGCCGAUGCCUGAUUAGCUUGUUGGUGGGGUAAAAGCCCACCAAGGCGACGAUCAGUAGCUGGUCUGGGAGGACAAUCAGCCACACUGGGACUGGGACACGGCCCAGACUCCUACGGGAGGCAGCAGUGGGGAAUUUUGGACAAUGGGGGCUACCCUGAUCCAGCAAUGCCGCGUGAGUGAAGAAGGCCUUCGGGUUGUAAAGCUCUUUUGUCAGGGAAGAAACACCGGCUCUAACACAGUCCGGGAAUGACGGUACCUGAAGAAUAAGCACCGGCUAACUACGUGCCAGCAGCCGCCGUAA
rnacentral:rRNA from 1 species